ensembl:lncRNA
UGAGGUCUACUACACCUGUUGUAUUCAGCAUUUCACUGUGAGGUCUACUACACCUGUUGUAUUCAGCAUUUCACUGUGAGGUCUACUACACCUGUUGUAUUCAGCAUUUCACUGUCAGGUCUACUACACCUGUUGUAUUCAGCAUUUCACUGUAAGGUCUACUACAUCUGUUGUAUUCAGCAUUUCACUGUGAGGUCUACUACACCUGUUGUAUUCAGCAUUUCACUGUAAGGUCUACUACAUCUGUUGUAUUCAGCAUUUCACUGUGAGGUCUACUACACCUGUUGUAUUCAGCAUUUCACUGUAAGGUCUACUACACCUGUUGAAUUCAGCAUUUCACUGUGAGGUCUACUACACCUGUUGUAUUCAGCAUUUCACUGUAAGGUCUACUACACCUGUUGUAUUCAGC